AGAAUCAACGCUGGCGGCGUGCCUAACACAUGCAAGUCGAACGAGAAAGUGGAGCAAUCCAUGAGUAAAGUGGCGACCGGGUGAGUAACACGUGACUAACCUACCUUCGAGUGGGGGAUAACCUCGGGAAACCGGGGCUAAUACCGCAUAAAAUCUUUGGAUCGGAAGAACUGGAGAUCAAUGGAGCAAUUCGCUUGAAGAGGGGGUCGCGGCUGAUUAGCUAGUUGGCGGGGUAAUGGCCCACCAAGGCUUUGAUCGGUAGCCGGCCUGAGAGGGCGCACGGCCGACACUGGAACUGAAACACGGUCCAGACUCCUACGGGAGGCAGCAGUGGGGAAUUUUGCGCAAUGGGGGAAACCCUGACGCAGCAACGCCGCGUGGAGGAUGAAGCCCCUUGGGGUGUAAACUCCUUUCGACCGGGAAAAUAAUGAUGGUACCGGUGGAAGAAGCACCGGCUAACUCUGUGCCAGCAGCCGC
rnacentral:rRNA from 1 species